GCCCCGGCCCCACGCGCCGGCGGCCCCGGGCCUCUGGUCGAUGGGAGCGCGGGGCUGGGUGGCCCGCGCCGCGGUCAGGUUGUUAGGAUGAUUAUGCAGAUCUAUCAGAUAUAGGAAAAAAAUUAAGCCACCUCACCCAGAUUCUGCAGUCCCUGAAAACCUGCAUCUGAAAUAAUGAAGAGCAGGAAACAGGAGAUUUAAUUCCUGGGUAAUUGAACCAGAGAGAAUCCAGUUUGAGAGAAGAGCAAGAGACAGCAGAGAAGAGCCGGAAGCUAGAUGGAGAAUGAGGGGUAAGGCCUAGGGUCCUUACUGGGGGGCUGCUAGGAUGCUGACCCUAUAUGCCUACUCCCUCCAAGCAUGGAAUUAGAACAUUCCUCUAGAU
rnacentral:lncRNA from 1 species